UUAUAAUUAAUUAUAAUUGAGUUUGGGUCACUUUUGGUUGCUUAGGAUUUUCUAUAGUGAAUGUAUCCCCAGGCAUGCUUUAGUCCUUAGAAGAGGAUGCUGUUUGUGGCUUUUAGGGAGCUUAUCCUAGAUCCCCCCAGAAGCCAAUAGCACAUGCAUCCUCCUGUCUUUCCUGGCAGUGGUCUACUCAAGAGAACUGGGCACUCUGUAGUUUUUGGAAAUCCAGCUUCCUCUUUUUCCCUCUUGCCUUCAGAACAUCCCCUUCCAGGAAUUUCUCCUCUCUACCUUCUGCCUCUGUGAGGUGAGCUACUUUACUACCAUGCCCUUCUGCCAUGAUGUUCUGCCCCAGCACAAACCCAAAAGCUGGCCAGCCAUGGACUGAAACCUCGAAAAUUGUGAGUCAAAGUAAACCUUCCCUCCUUUGAGUUGUUUUCCCUGAGCAUGUUGUCACAGUGAUGAAAAGCGGACUUACACAUUGGGACAGUGUUCCCCAGAGUGACACAUAAGGAAGAAGUGGGACCUUCAGAGCCUCCCUUAGCUCUGAAGAUGCAAGGAUCAUGUGCAUCUUUGGCCAAUCUGAUAGAGAAAAGAAGUUGUUUGAUUUUUCUUUAAACUACAGCAAGAGACACUUCAGUGGGACAAAAGGAGGAACCCCUGGGGUGAAGGCUGCAAAAUGAGCAUUGUGAAAAUUGGGAUGCAACUGGCGAGAGUGCCUCUUCUCAACUGUGUGCCUGUUCAAAGCAAGAAAUUUUGCUUCUGGGUGCUUCUCGAUGCCCUCCUUGCUUGGCUCGUUGCCUCCCUCUUCAGCCACUGGAUGCUCCGGGACAAUCCUUAUCUCACAAUCACACCCACGACAGUGCCAGGACUCCAUCUCACAGUUGGGGAUGACAGCAGCUGGCAGAGGGCACUGUCCUCAACAUGUCCAUGGUGUGACACACCCGGCUCUUUGGCAAAGUCUAUGAACUGUUUUAUGAAAAAGUCAUAACUGAAAUAACUGAAGUGUCAGAAAGCAAAAAGAAAAAGAAAAGAAGAUAUGCACGUCUUAGAAACCCUUCCACUCUCACGCUCGCUGGGAACUGAGUUGCUGAAGCAGAGACAAAGAACUGGGAUGUCAGGUGGUCAUCGAUUUCUAAGCCUGCAGCAGUGUCUUGGCUGGGUACCUCAGUCAGUCUGCAUCCUCCAUGAGGAGGCCCCUCUUGACUCCUCUGGAUGUGUAACUUGGGGAGGCCCUGGACAAAGCUCUGGCUGGAAGCUUCCAUGGUGCAGCCUUGGGUUCAAGGUGACCCUCAACUGAGGGUGUGCGGAUUCCUGAAGAAGAAACUCUCAGGAAGCAUCUGUCAAGGGUUUAAUUAAAUACAAUCUCAACAAUGAACAUUUUUUUAAAAAAAUGCUAAGCCCAGAAAAAGAAUUAAAAAUAAUUUGU
rnacentral:lncRNA from 1 species